GAUGAACGCUAGCGGCAGGCCUAACACAUGCAAGUCGAACGAAGCCUUCGGGCUUAGUGGCGCACGGGUGCGUAACACGUGGGAAUCUGCCCUUCGGUUCGGAAUAACAGUUAGAAAUGACUGCUAAUACCGGAUGAUGACGUAAGUCCAAAGAUUUAUCGCCGAAGGAUGAGCCCGCGUAGGAUUAGGUAGUUGGUAGGGUAAUGGCCUACCAAGCCGACGAUCCUUAGCUGGUCUGAGAGGAUGAUCAGCCACACUGGGACUGAGACACGGCCCAGACUCCUACGGGAGGCAGCAGUGGGGAAUAUUGGACAAUGGGCGAAAGCCUGAUCCAGCAAUGCCGCGUGAGUGAUGAAGGCCUUAGGGUUGUAAAGCUCUUUUACCAGGGAUGAUAAUGACAGUACCUGGAGAAUAAGCUCCGGCUAACUCCGUGCCAGCAGCCGCGGUAAAGUACAGUGU
rnacentral:rRNA from 1 species